GUUAGCGGCGGACGGGUGAGUAACACGUGGGUAACCUACCUAUAAGACUGGAAUAACUCCGGGAAACCGGGGCUAAUGCCGGAUAACAUUUAGAACCGCAUGGUUCUAAAGUGAAAGAUGGUUUUGCUAUCACUUAUAGAUGGACCCGCGCCGUAUUAGCUAGUUGGUAAGGUAAUGGCUUACCAAGGCAACGAUACGUAGCCGACCUGAGAGGGUGAUCGGCCACACUGGAACUGAUACACGGCCCAGACUCCUACGGGAGGCAGCAGUAGGGAAUCUUCCGCAAUGGGGGAAAGCCUGACGGAGCAACGCCGCGUGAGUGAUGAAGGGUUUCGGCUCGUAAAACUCUGUUAUUAGGGAAGAACAAACGUGUAAGUAACUGUGCACGUCUUGACGGUACCUAAUCAGAAAGCCACGGCUAACUACUUGCCAGCAGCCGCGGUAAUACGUAGGUGGCAAGCGUUAUCCGGAAUUAUUGGGCGUAAAGCGCGCG
rnacentral:rRNA from 1 species